CCUACGGGAGGCAGCAGUGGGGAAUAUUGCACAAUGGGGGAAACCCUGAUGCAGUGACGCCGCGUGAGUGAAGAAGUAAUUCGUUAUGUAAAGCUCUAUCAGCAGGGAAGAAAAUGACGGUACUUGAGUAAGAAGCCCCGGCUAACUCCGUGCCAGCAGCCGCGGUAAUACGUAGGGGGCAAGCGUUAUCCGGAUUUACUGGGUGGAAAGGGAGCGUAGCCGGCAGUGGAAGUCUGGAGUGAAAGGCGGGGGCUCAACCCCCGGACUGCUCAGGAAACUGUACGGCUGGAGUGCAGGAGAGGGAAGUGGAAUUCCUAGUGGAGCGGUGAAAUGCGUAGAUAUUAGGAGGAACACCAGUGGCGAAGGCGGCUUACUGGACUGUAACUGACGUUGAGGCUCGAAAGCGUGGGGAGCAAACAGGAUUAGAUACCCCUGUAGUC
rnacentral:rRNA from 1 species